rnacentral:rRNA from 1 species
AGGCCCUUCGGGGUACUCGAGCGGCGAACGGGUGAGUAACACGUGAGCAAUCUGCCCUUAGCUUCGGGAUAGCUCCGGGAAACCGGAAUUAAUACCGAAUAUGACUAUGGCCGACAUCAGCCAUGGUGGAAAGUUUUUCGGCUAGGGAUGAGCUCGCGGCCUAUCAGCUAGUUGGUGGGGUAAUGGCCUACCAAGGCGACGACGGGUAGCCGGCCUGAGAGGGCGACCGGCCACACUGGGACUGAGACACGGCCCAGACUCCUACGGGAGGCAGCAGUGGGGAAUAUUGCGCAAUGGGCGAAAGCCUGACGCAGCGACGCCGCGUGGGGGAUGAAGGCCUUCGGGUUGUAAACCCCUUUCAGCAGGGACGAAGCGAAAGUGACGGUACCUGCAGAAGAAGCGCCGGCUAACUACGUGCCAGCAGCCGCGGUAACACGUAGGGCGCAAGCGUUGUCCGGAAUUAUUGGGCGUAAAGAGCUCGUAGGCGGUCUGCUACGUCCGCUGUGAAAACCUAGGGCUUAACCCUGGGCUUGCAGUAGAUACGGGCAGACUAGAGGUAGGUAGGGGAGAAUGGAAUUCCCGGUGUAGCGGUGAAAUGCGCAGAUAUCGGGAGGAACACCGGUGGCGAAGGCGGUUCUCUGGGCCUAACCUGACGCUGAGGAGCGAAAGCGUG